UACGGAGGGGGCGAGCGUUAUUCGGAAUUAUUGGGCGUAAAGGGCGCGUAGGCGGCUGCACAAGUCAAAGGUGAAAUCCCUCGGCUCAACUGAGGAACUGCCUUUGAAACUGUGCGGCUUGAGGCCGGGGAGGGGGUAGCGGAAUUCCCAGUGUAGCGGUGAAAUGCGUAGAUAUUGGGAGGAACACCAGUGGCGAAGGCGGCUACCUGGACCGGAACUGACGCUGAUGCGCGAAAGCGUGGGUAGCAAACAGG
rnacentral:rRNA from 1 species